rnacentral:rRNA from 1 species
UACGGAGGGGACUAGCGUUGUUCGGAAUUACUGGGCGUAAAGCGCACGUAGGCGGAUUUGUAAGUCAGGGGUGAAAUCCCGGGGCUCAACCUCGGAACUGCCUUUGAUACUGCAAAUCUCGAGUCCGGAAGAGGUGAGUGGAAUUCCUAGUGUAGAGGUGAAAUUCGAUAGAUAUUAGGAAGAACACCUAUGGCGAAGGCAGCUCUCUGGGACGGUACUGGACGCAGAGU